CGGGGUGCAGCAGGCGCGAAAACUUUGCAAUACACGAAAGUGUGACAGGGUCAUCCCGAGUGCCGACCGCUGAGGUUGGCUUUUACCCAGUCUAGAAAGCCGGGGGAAUAAGGAGAGGGCAAGUCUGGUGUCAGCCGCCGCGGUAAUACCAGCUCUCCGAGUGGUGUGGACGUUUAUUGGGCCUAAAGCAUCCGUAGCUGGCUGAACAAGUCCCCUGUUAAACCCACCGAUUUAAUCGUUGGUCUGCGGGGGAUACUGCUCGGCUAGGGGACGAGAGAGGCAGACGGUAUUCCCGGGGUAGGGGUGAAAUCCUAUAAUCCCGAGAAGACCACCAGUGGCGAAGGCUGUCUGCUAGAACGCGCCCGACGGUGAGGGAUGAAAGCUGGGGGAGCGAACCGGAUUAGAUACCCGGGUAGUCCCAGCUGUAAACGAUGCAGACUAGGUGUUUGGACGGCCACGUGCCGUUCUAGUGCCGCAGGGAAGCUGUUAAGUCUGCCGCCUGGGGAGUACGAUCGCAAGAUUGAAACUUAAAGGAAUUGGCGGGGGAGCACAAGGGCGAAUCGC
rnacentral:rRNA from 1 species